rnacentral:rRNA from 1 species
GUGCAGCAGGCGAGAAACUCCGCAAUGCUCGAAAGAGUGACGGGGGAUUCCAAGUGCCUACGCUUAGCGUAGGCUGUUCAGAUGCCUAAAAGCAUCUGGAGUAAGGGCUGGGUAAGACGGGUGCCAUCUGCAGUGGUAAUGAAAAACUUGCUACUGCAAGGCAUAAGCCGCCGCGGUAAUACCCGCAGCCCGAGUGGUAGUCGCUUUUAUUGGGCCUAAAGCGUCCGUAGCCGGUCUGGUAAAUGCCUGGGUAAAUCGUGGGGCCUAACCUCACGAAUUCCGGGUAGACUGCCAGACUUGGGACCGGUUGAGGGAGAGGGUACUCC